AAAAUAGAAGUGUUCGAGGUUUAUUAUUAUUUGUCACUGUCGAGUAUGAUAAUUAUUAUACCACGUAAUAUUGUGUUUUAUAGAACGCUUGUCCGCCCGAGCGAUAUUUGUUUAGCGCCGCGAGUCAUUAGGCGCAGGUAGCCGUAUGAUGUUAUUCGCGACUAAAUAUUAUUUCAACACUUGAAACAAACGGUCGCGCGUCCGGGGAAUUGUUUCGUAUGAUAAUAAUAAUAAUUGUAUUAUUUUUUUUUUUUUUUUAAACUAUCCCACGCGAGUAGUUAGGUAUUAUAUAAUCCCGCGUGUACGCUGCCGAUUCAAACCGAAAUUUAUAUAGAAAAAACAGCGAUACGCGAGACAGGCGUUAUUAACAUUACAAUAUAG